UAAGGCGACAAAAAUUGGUCUCCUUAAUAUUUUCAGUCCAGAUUUGAUGUAUCAAAUGUCAAUAAAAAUGUCCAUUGACAGUAAGUUGAUAAGCUUGAAUGUUUAUUUACGAGAUAAUUUCAUUGUUUUAAAUCUUAUUAUCUUUUAAUAUUAAAAAAAAUAUUCUUAAACUUUUGUGUGUGUAUAUUUGUGUAUCCAUAAAAAUAGCUAUUAAGGCGACCAGGGAAAAAAUCAUAAUUUUGGUCAAAAAUAGCUAUAUACUAAGCAUUUUUUAUUUGUUUUACUUUAUUUAAAGCCUAUUGUAUAUUAUCCCGAAGUUUCAUUCCAUAAAAAACAGAAAUAAGGAAAUUCGAUAUUUCGUGUACCAUCAGCAUCCAAAUUUUCAAGUAUACAGAAAUUUAACUUUCCGGAAUAUAACGGAAAUUUUCGGGUAUCUCCGUGGUACCAUCUCCGUGCAAUUAUGCAGUAUGGCGUUCAUCUCUUACGGAAAGAGAAUGGUAACUUGGUAAGUGUUUAAAAUACAUAUUCAACGUUUUUUUCGUUUAUUUUUAUGACUUUUGUACAGUAGUAUAAAUCGUCCACCCUUUGGAUGAAAAGCAAAUGAUUUAUCCGGAUUUUGUUCAUCCGAAACUAAAUCACUAGUAUCAACAUCCGGUGUAAUUUUUGCUGGUAUUUUGGAGAAACCCGAUUGAUUUCUAGCAAACUUGGUUUACCACUACAUCGUCGCUUAUUAUUGUUUGUUGCUGCUUGGGACAAUAAAGUUAAGUCAGCAACCGUCUACCAGACUGCAAGAUUCAUCUCUUCCAAAGGAUGUUGUACCUUUCCAGAUACACUGUGUUUUGUGUGGAUAAGAAAUGCAGAGUGGUACCACCAAUCACCUAAUGGGGACAGUUCCUGCAAUUUACAGAAAAGCUCUCAAUUGUAGCCCUAUGAACUUCAGAUACUGCCGAUGGUGAAGCUUGGGUGCACUGGGCCGGUUUUCCAGCCGUGUGGAAUCAACAUCUCCAUCUGAACUGGGGCCGGGAAUUAUAUAAGACUCCUUAGCAGCAUGAGUGCCAGCCAGUCAUUGCUGUUCUUUGCAUUGCUGAGGAGGACAGUCCUGCCAACAUAACAGUUUGUUCAAUAACAGGAGACAAACAGAAACACAGAGGUGCUAUACAUUCUGAUGGAAAAACAAAAGCAUCUCCCAUCAUUUUGGCGUGGCUCAGAUCAAGAGGAGAAUUUUAAGAAAGGUGAUGGUUGGGCACACACAAGAAGACAUAGAUCACAGGUGUCUAGCCAUAUGAGUAGAUACGCUUCUCAAGAUCCCGCACUGCACACUAAGACAUAGUCUUUGACUACAACAAGGUGAUGAAAGUACAGAGAGGUCCAAUUGAAAUCAAUUCUGUGCUGCUGUCAUUUCUUCAUUCUGGAAGUCGAUGGACAUGAUUUAUCAUGGCAUCAAGUGUGCAGUUUGCCGACUACCAGCAGUCUUGUUCACCAGCUGUGCAACUUGAGCUGGUAGCUUUAUUGCUUGAAGCCACUGCAUAAGAGGGGUAAGGUGCAGGCUCAUCAAAAAGUCUCAAAAGUUGAAACUAGGAAAAGAAGUUUAUCAAGAGUGUGAAUCUAUUUUGAAAACAAUCGUAAACAUACUAUGAAUUGAGAUGCUUAAAUAAAAAACCGCUAUUCAAAUAUCAGGAAACUGCCUUUUUCAUACUAAAGGGUAAAUGAUGUCGCCAUUUCCUGUAUGUAUUUAAAUAAGAUAUGUCUCCACAAUUAAUAUUUUUAGGGAAUUUUUCUCAACCUAAUGAAUGAGAUUAAAUUGUACAGUGUUAUAUGAGCUUAAUAUGUGUUUUCUCAUUCUUUAAAAUUGGUGAAAAAUUGUCAGAAGAUAAUUAGACCAGUAUCCAUUACUGCAAUCAUACAAUCAAAUAUACAGGGACAAGCCCACUGGGCAUAUGAUAUAAUUAAACCCUGUUUAGGGGCACGAGGCAAACACUUUCAAACGUUAAAGCUGCACUCUCACACUUUGGAUGUUUUGACAACCUUUUUCAUUUUAUGUCUUGGAUUGGAACCAUCCAAUUUUUGCGAAAAAUUAAAUCCCAGAUUUUUCUAUUUAAGUUAAAACAUUGAUGUUUUUUAUGCACUUUUCUUAAACCGUUAGUAAAUAUUAAUUUUCGAACGGAAAUAUGAAAUC